rnacentral:lncRNA from 1 species
GAAGCCUGUGUCUUCUUUGCUGUGUGAUCCUCAUCACGUUAGGGGAUUCCUGAGGAAGCAGAGGAUUUUGUCCUUGCAUUUGAGCCACAGCAGCUCUCGGAACAGAAGGCACCGGCGAGAGGCCCUCCUUGUCAGCACCAGGGACAGAUUGCUCAAGAAUCUGUGUGCUCCAAGGCACAAGAGGGGUGCUGUCUCCUUUUCUGGAGUUCCAUCUCAUGCCUACAUUUCAGGUUUGACAGCCAGGAAUCAGGUGUGCAAAA